rnacentral:rRNA from 1 species
UACAGAGGUCCCGAGCGUUGUUCGGCUUCAUUGGGCGUAAAGGGUGCGUAGGCGGCGGAGCAAGUCUGAUGUGAAAUCCCGGGGCUCAACCCCGGAACUGCAUUGGAUACUGCCUUGCUAGAGUACUGGAGAGGGAACUGGAAUUCCUGGUGUAGCGGUGAAAUGCGCAGAUAUCAGGAGGAACACCGGUGGCGAAGGCGGGUCUCUGGGCCGAUACUGACGCUGAGGAGCGAAAGCGUGGGGAGCGAACAGG